UGGGGAAUAUUGCNCAAUGGGGGGAACCCUGACGCAGCCAUGCCGCGUGAAUGAAGAAGGCCUUCGGGUUGUAAAGUUCUUUCGGUAUUGAGGAAGGUUGAUGUGUUAAUAGCACAUCAAAUUGACGUUAAAUACAGAAGAAGCACCGGCUAACUCCGUGCCAGCAGCCGCGGUAAUACGGAGGGUGCGAGCGUUAAUCGGAAUAACUGGGCGUAAAGGGCACGCAGGCGGUUAUUUAAGUGAGGUGUGAAAGCCCCGGGCUUAACCUGGGAAUUGCAUUUCAGACUGGGUAACUAGAGUACUUUAGGGAGGGGUAGAAUUCCACGUGUAGCGGUGAAAUGCGUAGAGAUGUGGAGGAAUACCGAAGGCGAAGGCAGCCCCUUGGGAAUGUACUGACGCUCAUGUGCGAAAGCGUGGGGAGCAAACAGGAUUAGAUACCCUGGUAGUCCACGCUGUAAACGCUGUCGAUUUGGGGGUUGGGGUUUAACUCUGGCGCCCGUAGCUAACGUGAUAAAUCGACCGCCUGGGGAGUACGGCCGCAAGGNUA
rnacentral:rRNA from 1 species